UACGUAGGUGGCAAGCGUUAUCCGGAAUUAUUGGGCGUAAAGAGCGCGCAGGUGGUUGAUUAAGUCUGAUGUGAAAGCCCACGGCUUAACCGUGGAGGGUCAUUGGAAACUGAGGGACUUGAGUACAGAAGAGGAGAGUGGAAUUCCACGUGUAGCGGUGAAAUGCGUAGAGAUGUGGAGGAACACCAGUGGCGAAGGCGACUCUCUGGUCUGUAACUGACGCUGAGGUGCGAAAGCGUGGGUAGCAAACAGGAUUAGAUACCCCGUA
rnacentral:rRNA from 1 species